rnacentral:rRNA from 1 species
GUGUCAGCAGCCGCGGUAAGACGUAGGGAGCAAGCGUUGUCCGGAUUUACUGGGCGUAAAGGGCGCGUAGGCGGUCUGUUAAGUGAGUACUGAAAUCUCCAGGGCUUAACCCGGAAACUGGUUCUCAUACUGGCAGACUGGAGGAAGGCAGAGGUAACUGGAAUUCCUGGUGUAGCGGUGAAAUGCGUUGAUAUCAGGAGGAACUCCAAUGGCGAAGGCAGGUUACUGGGCCUUAUCUGACGCUGAGGCGCGAAAGCGUGGGUAGCAAACAGGAUUAGAUACCCUUGUAGUCC